CAAGUUAUAGUUAUUAGUUAACAUUAUCUUUUACAUUGAUAUAUUAAUCUGUGCAAUUCAGAUUAACUUGA
rnacentral:tRNA from 1 species